GCCGGUGUGGCGGAACUGGCAGACGCCCGGGACUUAAAAUCCCGUGAGGUUAACACCUCGUACCGGUUCAAUCCCGGUCACCGGCACCA
rnacentral:tRNA from 1 species